UCUCUCGUAGCUUAGUGGGUAGAACAUUGGCGCGUAUAGCCAAAGAACCCGGGUUCGAUUCCCGGCGGGGGUG
rfam:Agrilus planipennis Contig3484, whole genome shotgun sequence.